AAGGCUGAGGUGUGAUGACGAGGCACUACGGUGCUGAAGUAACAAAUGCCCUGCUUCCAGGAAAAGCCUCUAAGCAUCAGGUAACAUCAAAUCGUACCCCAAACCGACACAGGUGGUCAGGUAGAGAAUACCAAGGCGCUUGAGAGAACUCGGGUGAAGGAACUAGGCAAAAUGGUGCCGUAACUUCGGGAGAAGGCACGCUGGUGUGUAGGUGAAGUCCCUGCGGAUGGAGCUGAGACCAGUCGAAGAUACCAGCUGGCUGCAACUGUUUAUUAAAAACACAGCACUGUGCAAACACGAAAGUGGACGUAUACGGUGUGACGCCUGCCCGGUGCCGGAAGGUUAAUUGAUGGGGUUAUCCGUAAGGAGAAGCUCUUGAUCGA
rnacentral:rRNA from 1 species